UUUGAUCCUGGCUCAGGAUGAACGCUAGCGGCUGGCCUAAUACAUGCAAGUCGAGCGGGUCGCAAGACCAGCGGCAAACGGGUGCGUAACGCGUAACAACCUGCCCUCAACUGGGGGAUAGCCCUGCGAAAGCGGGGGUAAACCCGCAUAGUCCCUUAGAGUCACCUGGCUGUUUGGGUAAACAUUUAUGGGUUGAGGAGGGGCUUGCGUCUGAUUAGCUAGUUGGGGGGGUAACGGCCCACCAAGGCGAUGAUCAGUAGGGGUUCUGAGAGGAUUGGCCCCCACACGGGUACUGAGAGACGGACCCGACUCCUACGGGAGGCAGCAGUAGGGAAUAUUGGGCAAUGGAGGCAACUCUGACCCAGCCAUGCCGCGUGCAGGAUGAAGGCGCUCAGCGUUGUAAACUGCUUUUAUCAGGGAAGAACUGUAGUCUGCGGGAUUAUUUGACGGUACCUGAGGAAUAAGCACCGGCUAACUCCGUGCCAGCAGCCGCGGUAAUACGGAGGGUGCAAGCGUUGUCCGGAUUUAUUGGGUUUAAAGGGUGCGUAGGUGGGGUCUCAAGUCUGGUUUGAAAGUCGGCGGCUUAACCGUUGGAUGUGGCUGGAAACUGGGAUUCUUGAAUGCGCUGGCGGUAGGAGGAACGGGUCAUGUAGCGGUGAAAUGCAUAGAUAUGACCCAGAACACCGAUUGCGAAGGCAGGCUACUAC
rnacentral:rRNA from 1 species